UUUGGUUACUGGCCAAUCAUUGACAUCAUCUUGAAUUUAACCGUCCGACCCUUCAACAAAUGAAUCCACGAAAACAACCGUCGGAGGCACCUACCAGGGAACAUCAUCUUCUUAUUGGUGGAAAGAAGUGGGACUCGAAGGUACCACCAAUGUGAGUCGAUCGAAAUGGGUCAAUUCUACCAUGGUGGUACACCCAAAACUACAUGGUUCGCAUCUGCCUACAUCUCGCCGUCAUCACCGUCACCCUGGCGAUGUGCACCCACCAUCACUGUCAUUAAUUGGGUGGUGCGUGACACAUACGCCCCAUAAGGAUGAUGAUGCGCCAUUACCCGCUACUUACUUUGUGGCGAAGCUCGCGUCGAGAUUACAUGAUAUGUGGCGCUAUUCGUGCCACGCUGCCCUGCUCCUGCUCUUCAUCCCUGAUUAACGUAUGCCUAUGAACGUAUAAAUGUACAUACACGUCACAUCCUUCGAGCAUGCUAUUAUGGACAUGGGAACGGAAUAGCUAUGCCAUUUCCAUUAUGUACACUGGAAGUAAGCAGAGGGACCGCGCAGCAAUAGUUGCCAUUUCCAUUUGGAAAUUCAACCCCUCUUCCUGUGCUUCUCUUACAGCUAUGCAUAUAAAAAGAGGGAGGGAGAGAGUAACCGCACCUCCACACCUCGUCCCAACUACUGACUGAACCCCAUACCUUACCCUUCCCAUCUCUUUUCUCUCAACCCACCAUUGAUGCCCUUCAAUUCAUGCCAACCACUCUCUUCUGAAGAAAGAGAGAAGUUCCACUGCCAUCACUUCCCCUCCUUGGGAAAGACACAUACAUAUGUGAAGACACAAGCUGCAGCGGCGUGUUUCUGUUUGUUCUUCUUUUGCAGCACCAUUGAUGCCCUUCAAUUCAUGCCAACUACUCUUUUCUGAAGAAAGAGAGAAGUUCCACUGCCAUCACUUAUUUCCCCUACUUGGGAAAGACACAAGCUGCAGCGGCAUGUUUCUGUUUCUUCUUCUUUUGCUUGCUGCAUACUAAGUGAUCGAGCCUAGUGGGAGGACAGAGGGAGAAAUUGGCCGCCAUACUAAGUGAUCGAGCCUAGUGGGAGGACAGAGGGAGAAAUUGGAUGGUGGAGUUUAUGGCGGUCGUGGUGAUCAGGGGGUACGACGCGUAGCGGGACCCGGGGGGAGCAGAUGUGGGAGGUGGGGUACAGCAGCGCUGCCAUGUCCGCCACUCCCCUUCCUUCCUCAUGCUCGUCCGUGUUCCUUCUCUUUUUUUCUUUUUCUUUUUGUGUUCCAUUCUUUCCGAUCAUCUCCUGUUUCUGAGUUAACGCACUUUGGACAUCCUUUUGUGAUCUUAUUCUCCUCAGUAAGUAUGCGUAUGUGUAUGAAGAAGCACAAUCAUAAUGUUAAUAAAGGUGGCGGAGAUGAUUAGCAAGCCGGAGAAGGAGGACACCGUGACAUCGGCGCCGCCUCUCGGCACCUUUCUUGCCGUCCCUCCUUCGCCAGUAAUCCCUGCCACCACCCGUGAAUGAUCGCGCGUGGGCCCUGUCCCGCAGGUCCCGUGAUGAUUCCUCCCACCCGUGAACGACGACGCUACAAGGCGUGGAGACCCCGCAGGUCCCGUGAUGAUCCCUCCCACCCGUGAACGACGCAACAAGGCGUGGGGACCCCGCAGGUCCCGUGAUGAUCCCUCCCACCCGUGAACGACGCAACAAGGCGUGGGGACCCCGCAGUUCCCGUGAUGAUCCCUCCCACCCGUGAACGACGUCACAAGGCGACCCCGCAGGUCCCGUGAUGAUCCCUCCCACCCGUGAACGACGCGGCUGCCGAGCGGUGGCGACGUACGAGCCUCUCUCGCAUCACACUAAUUACUGUCUUUAAUACUAAUCUAAUCGAAUGGCAUCCGGGGAUUACACGUCCUCGCCAACCCGCCCUCCCUCGGCACCUUCCUUGCCGUCCCCUCGGGCUGCUCCUUCGCUGUCCGGUGUGAGGGGGCGGGCGCGUUCGUUGCCGUCCCGCCCGCCUCGUGGGUGGUGGCCAGCGUGUGGAACUCCAAGGAGGUGUUCCCGCUGGAGGUUCGGGGGGCAGGGCGUUGGCGGCGAGGGCUGGCGCGGGCGAGCCGCGCGGUGGACCGGGCGCUACCGUGGCUGCGCAUACCCCGCUGGAGCGGCUCGCACGCCGCCAUCACUCGGCAGCCGGGGCCCCCCCACGCCGUGUUGUCCGCGUGACGAAGUUCACGGGUGGGAUGUAUCAGGGGUGGGAGUUCAGGGGUGUGAAGGAUCACGGGAAGGCGCACUACUUGCGCGUGCGCCUGCUCCUGUGAGACGAUGUGGAUGUCUCGUAAGGGCUGUUUCUGCUUGGACGAGAUCUGCAUGUUAAUGAUGGUGACGAUAACGUGGGCAGACGAUGAGGUUUCCAAUCACUCAUAAUCAUUGACGACUGAAACGGGUUCAUAGGAUAACAUGCGGAUCCCAUCAUCGCUGGCUUAAGCUAUUUCAGUGUGUGAACAGUUCCCUUUCGCAUUCACCUCACGGGUGGUUUUUUUUAGAACGAAUGGAUUCGAGGCGUCUAUAAAUACAAUGGUUCUGAUACACAUUCGAGUCAUUCGAGUACGAGUGACUGACUGUGUGUACGAGUGAUGGCUAAGUGUUUAAUAUUUUUUAUCUUUAUGCUAAUUACUAUAUUUGUUUUGAUAAUGUCAGUUUAUGGGAUAAGUAAAGAAGAGUGCUGCAGGCUUCGUCUGCCGUGCUGCUCCUCGUGCUGCUCCUCUUCAGCUAUUAAGAUUAAUAGCACUGUGUAGUUUGUUAUUGUUUGAUAGGAGAUCCAAGCGCUUCGAUCACCUGCCGGCAAAGGAGGAGUACUUGGCUCUGCCUCCUCGUGCUCGCUCGCGGAUGAGGGCCCGGUGCUCAUGCCAAUGUUGACCUCCGACUCGGCACCGCCGGCGAAGCUCGAGUACAGGCCUUCCGUCUGCGGGAAGGCAUUCGGGUCGUACCAGGCCCUGGGCGGGCACAAUGCCAGCCAUCGGAAGCCUAGCAGCGGCGUCGAGGAAGCCUCGGCCUCGGGGCUCUUCCACGGCAAGCGCAAGCACCACCGCGGCGGCCUCCGGCGGCGGCAGGGUGCACCGGUGCUCCCUCGGUGUGCCUGAAGACGUUUCCGUUGGGGCAAGCGCUGGGGGGCACAAGAGGUACCACAACGACGGGAGCGUCGGCAGCGGCAGUCCCUCGGCGGCGAUGACGUCGUCGGAGGCGGCGAGCUCGAGGCACAGGGCGUUCUAUCUGAACCCGCCAACGUCGCCGAACCCGGAGUUCGACGACGUAAACGGGGUGCAGAGCCUGUCAGCCUUCAAGAAACCGAGACCUGUCAUCCCGGCAUGAGCGAGUCAACUCCAGUGCGUGGAAUAUUGGUCAUUCGUUGUGUACAGAGAAUGACCCAUUCUUUGUAGCUGAAGUCGAUUCUUUCCCUAACGUCAAAUUGAUUUCUUUAGAAAUCGUUUUCGAUGGAGGAAUUUACCUGCUUUAGUAAAUUCAUGUUGAAUUGUAUUUCUCAAUUGUGUUGCCAAUCUUUUUGUACGUAUCAUAAAAAAUAAUUUUCACGAUUCUUUUGCGGA